GUACUAUGCUAUUUUUCUGUUUUUUUUUUUUUUUUCCACACACAAACCACCUUGUUUGAUUUUUAUUGAAAAAUCUUUAGAAGCACACUAUUUGUCUGUGUUGCAAACUUACUCAUACAUUUCGAAACCAUUUCUACAAGCAACAAGAUUGGAAAAGAUAAUAAAUGCAUUCUCAUCAACUCAGGCUCAGACUGACUGUGAAAUUAAACCAAUCACCAAAGCAAUUACAACAGGGGAGGAGAGGGUCCGAUCGAUAACAGCCCCAUUAUGAAUAGCCGAUAAAGAGAGAGAAAACACCCAGGAAUCAGGGAAUCCCUGGAUGGCAUCAACACCUCCAUGCAGACAUUGGGAAGGUAAUUAUUUUUUUUAAGCUUCUGUUUAAGUAGGGUUACUUUAUGGCAGCAUUCACCAAUUUAAAAUAAUAAUAAUAAUAAUAAUAAUAAUAAUAAUAAUAAUAAUAAUAAUAAUAAUAAUACUAAUACUAAUACUAAUAAUAAUAAUAAUAAAUGCUGUAUCCUUAUUUUUUAUGUCAGGGAUUCACUUGCUAACACUGUUGUUAAUAUUAGUUAACUAUUAGUUAACAUGAAUUAACAAUUUGCUAUAAUUCUACAGCAUUUAUUAUCUUUAUUAAUGUUAAUCUAAAUAUGUAUUAAUGCAUUUUUAAGAUCAAAAGUUAUAUCAGUCAAACAUUAGUUAAAGGGAUAGUUCUCCCAAAAAUGAAAAUUUGUCAGAAUUUUCAUUUUUGAGUGAGCAAUUCCUUUAAUGCACUUUGAACUAAUGUGCUAACAAAUGAGACCUCAUUGAAAAGUGUUUCCAGUCAUUGUAACCACAGUUAUGUUGUGCCUAUUAACUGCAUUGCAAUCAUAUAUUUACAGCUCAUAAUUUCCUCCUUUUUUUUCAGUACAGAGUGCAUUAAAGACAUUUGCUUUGUAACUCACAUAAUGGUUCAUUUUGUUAAGGAAUAUUUUCUUUAAUUCUUUUUGAUUAGCUUUGGAAGGCUUGUUCUUUUAUUUAUUUUUUUAUUUUUUUCGAAAUUUGUCAAUUCGACCCAAUCAUCAUUUAAUGUAAACAUUGACAUUAUAGAAAUUAUUAACUGUUAAAAUAAAUGUGGCACAAAAGAAGACGCAUCCAGGCCACAGUGCUGUCAAAUGUGCUUAUAUUUGAACGUCGACACUACCGCUGGAUAGUAAAGGGCCCUGAUGCACAACACUGAACAAUGGAAGUGACUGUGAUUACAGCACAAUGAUUAGAUCAGUUAAAGCAGUGAUAACACAGAUUUCUCUCCAUCGUUUUUAUGACAUUUUCAUUUAGUCUCUUAAUCCACAUCCUAUGGGCAGUAAUUAAAACACGUGCUCGGUGAGCUCUUUCAUGGAGUGAGGGAGUAUUACAUUCUGACCUUUCCAGAUAAGGAUCCACACACAGGAUAUCUAGUGCCGUUCUUCAAGUGGUGCUUCUGAAGAUGCCAAAAUGUAUUUAUUCCCAUUACUGGGGUGUUAGUUUUGGUGUGCGCAGUGUUUAGAAAUAUGCUAUUCUCCGGUAAUUUACUCAACUCCAGGUUUUUAUAGGUCACACAUUAGUUUUUUUUGCUUUAGUACUGAUAAUCAUUUGUAGAGAGUAGGGAUAAUACAAUAUCAUUCAAAAGUUUGCGGUCAGUAAGAAUUUUGAGUGACAUUUUACAAUAAGCUCUCAUUUGUUAACAUUAGUUAAUGCAGUCAUAUAUUUACACCUCAUACUUUCCCCCCUUUUUUCAGUACAGAGUGUAUUAAAGACAUUUGCUUUGUAACACACAGGGUUCAUUUUCUUAAGGAAUAUGUUCUUUUAUUCUUUUUGAUUAGCUUUGGAAGGCUUGGGCCCGUUGUUGUUGUUUUUUUGCCUAAUAAUAUGACAAGGAUGAUGUUAACUAGGGGAAAAAAUAUGACAAAAAAUAUGACAAAAAAUAAAUAAAUAAAUAAAUUAAAUAAAAUAAAAUUAAAUAAAAACCUUAAAUGUCUCAGUGGACGAGUAUAAAAAAGAAUACAGUGCAUCCAGUAGUCCAAAGUGCAUCACUGGUUACAUCACAGCUACCUUUCUGCAAGAAUAACUUCUUGUAAGGUUUGCCAUGAAGCACUGUAGAAUAAGCUAAACAUCUUUUCUCCUCUAUGGCCUAAUCCAGAAAACAAUGACCCAGGCCAUGGCCCUCUACACUGGCUUUCAUCUCCUCUGUGUAGAUUCACCCACCAGUAUUGAUUACUUAUUGACCUGAAAUGUUCUCCGCUUCAGUCUGCACUCUUUUUCUCAACAAACCCUUCAGCUGAAUGUAAGAAACACAAGGCUAAGGCAUUGAGUUUCUUUCUUUCUUUCUUUCUUUCUUUCUUUCUUUCUUUCUAGAUAUACUUUUAACAUAUCUGCAGUUGUGACUUUAUAGAAAAUAUUUAUUUAUUUAUAGGUUAGUUAAACAGAAAAAAAGUGAUUUUACCUUGGAUCUCAAUAAGACAGUAUACAUUUGUGUGAAAAACAUAAAAAUGUUUAGGUAAUAUCAAGAGAGAUAUUUUUUUGCUGAAAGCCAAGUUCAUACAACAUUUGUAUAUUUUAAGUAUGACUUGCUGCUUUUUUCUUUCUAUCUGUUGACAUUUCUUUCAAUCUGUAAACAGAUCCAGAUUGAUCCAGAGAAAGAUUUGGACUGUCUAUAUGUCAUAACUCUUCGAUGCAUCUGACUGUAGGUCAAGGUCAGUGACUGGCUGCCCUUUACUUCACCGCUUUGUAUACAUAUUUUUAAGAUAUGCAAGACAAGGUCACAGUGAUGGAAAAUUUACUGAUUGGUAUCACAUGCAAAUAGAGUGUAAUAGAAAUGAGAUAAUUAUUCAUUCCUUUCAACUAAUUAGAUCCAAGUCACACUGGACCAGAGAAUCUGGAGAGCUUCUAUUAGCCUGCCCUCUGGAGCUAAAAGAAAGAAAGAACUAAAAAGAAAUCAACUCAAGGGGGAAAUUCUCUCAGGGUCUUUCAGGUCUCCAAUUGUUUGUACUUUUGUUUAUUGGUUUGUUGACUUAUCUAUUUAUUUCAUUAUUAUUGUUUUCUGUUUUUCUUCUAUUUCCCAGUUGAGGUUUAAGUUUUAAAUGGUUUCAACUCUUCUUUUGAUCUCAUUUAGAAAAAAGAAUAAACAAGAAAAUAAAAG
ensembl:lncRNA